rnacentral:rRNA from 1 species
UACGUAGGGGGCAAGCGUUGUCCGGAAUUAUUGGGCGUAGAGAGCGUGUAGGCGGUCCGGUAAGUCAGCUGUGAAAGUCAAGGGCUCAACCCUUGAAUGCCGGUUGAUACUGUCGGGCUAGAGUCCGGAAGAGGCGAGUGGAAUUCUCGGUGUAGCGGUGAAAUGCGUAGAUAUCGAGAGGAACACCUGCGGCGAAGGCGGGUUGCUGGGCCGACACUGACGCUGAUGCGCGAAAGCUAGGGGAGCGAACGGG